rnacentral:ncRNA from 2 species
AUGUUAUCAAGAAAGGCAGAGGGACUAGACCCGGUGAAGCCUUAGCAACCCUUUUUCUAAUUUAUAAAGAAAAUGAAGGUGCUACAUUCUACUGCAAAAGCAGAUAGAUAACCC